rnacentral:tRNA from 1 species
AAUGUUGUGUCUGAAAAAGAAUUAAACUGUAAAUUUAUUAAUAGAAAUCUUAAUUUUCUCAACAUUA